rnacentral:rRNA from 1 species
AACGAACGCUGGCGGCAUGCCUAACACAUGCAAGUCGAACGGGAUCCUAGCUUGCUAGGUGAGAGUGGCGGACGGGUGAGUAACACGUGGGAAUCUGCCUUUUGGUUCGGGAUAACCGCGGGAAACUGCGGCUAAUACCGAAUGCCCUCGAGAGAGGAAAGAUUUAUCGCCAGAAGAGGAGCCCGCGUCCGAUUAGGUAGUUGGUGGGGUAAAGGCCUACCAAGCCGACGAUCGGGUAGCUGGUCUGAGAGGAUGAUCAGCCACACUGGGACUGAGAUACGGCCCAGACUCCUACGGGAGGCAGCAGUGGGGAAUAUUGGACAAUGGGGGCAACCCUGAUCCAGCAAUGCCGCGUGAGUGAUGAAGGCCUUAGG